rnacentral:rRNA from 1 species
CCUACGGGAGGCAGCAGUCGAGAAUCAUUCACAAUGGGGGAAACCCUGAUGGUGCGACGCCGCGUGGGGGAAUGAAGGUCCUCUGGAUUGUAAACCACUGUCCCCAGGGACGAAGAUGACGGUACCUGGGGAGGAAGCUCCGGCUAACUACGUGCCAGCAGCCGCGGUAAUACGUAGGGAGCAAGCGUUGUCCGGAAUUACUGGGUGUAAAGGGAGCGUAGGCGGGAUGGCAAGUUGGGUGUUAAAUCUACCGGCUCAACUGGUAGUCGCACUCAAAACUGCUAUUCUUGAGUGAAGUAGAGGCAGGCGGAAUUCCUAGUGUAGCGGUGAAAUGCGUAGAUAUUAGGAGGAACACCAGUGGCGAAGGCGGCCUGCUGGGCUUUUACUGACGCUGAGGCUCGAAAGUGUGGGGAGCAAACAGGAUUAGAUACCCUGGUAGUC